CUAGUGGCCGAGGCCGAGGCCGUGGCUGCCGGCUGGAUGCUCGAUUUCCUCUGCCUCUCUCUUUGCUGAGCUUUCCGCGAUGGCCGCUCGGAGGACUUCCGCAGGACCCGCAACAGCGCAGAGGCUAUUAUUCAUGGACUAUCCAGUCUAACAGCUUACCAGUUGAGAACGAUAUACAUAUGUCAGUUUUUGACAAGAAUUGCAGCAGGAAAAACCCUUGAUGCACAAUUUGAAAAUGAUGAACGAAUUACACCCUUGGAAUCAGCCCUGAUGAUUUGGGGUUCAAUUGAAAAGGAACAUGACAAACUUCAUGAAGAAAUACAGAAUUUAAUUAAAAUUCAGGCUAUAGCUGUAUGGAAAAUGGCAACUUUAAAGAAGCAGAAGAAGUCUUUGAAAGAAUAUUUGGUGAUCCAAAUUCUUAUAUGCCUUUGAAAAGCAAAUUGCUUAUGAUAAUCUCUCAGAAAGAUACAUUUCAUUCCUUUUUUCAACACUUCAGCUGCAACCACAUGAUGGAGAAAAUUAAGAGUUAUGUGAAUUAUGUGCUAAGUGAAAAAUCAUCAACCUUUCUAAUGAAGGCAGUGGCAAAAGUAGUAGAAAGCAAAAGGACAAGAACACUAACUUCUCAAGAUAAACCUAAUGGUAAUGAUGUUGAAAUGGAAACUGAAGCUAAUUUGGAUACAAGAAAAAUUGUUAGUGACAAACAGUCUGCGGUAACUGAAUCCUCAGAGGGUACAGUAUCCUUAUUGAGGUCUCACAAGAAUCUUUUCUUAUCUAAGAUGCAACAUGGAGCCGAGCAACAAGACCUUAAUAAGAAAGAAAGAAGAAUAGGAAUUCUUCAAAGUACAAAAAAGAAUAAAGAAAGCAGAAAAGCCACUGAAAGCAGAAUACCUGUUUCAAAGAGUCAACCGGUAACUCCUGAAAAACAUCGAGCUAGAAAAAGACAGGCAUGGCUUUGGGAAGAAGACAAGAAUUUGAGAUCUGGCAUGAGGAAAUAUGGAGAGGGAAACUGGUCUAAAAUACUGUUGCAUUAUAAAUUCAACAACCGGACAAGUGUCAUGUUAAAAGACAGAUGGAGGACCAUGAAGAAAGUAAAACUGAUUUGCUCAGACAGCAAA
rnacentral:lncRNA from 1 species